UCCAGACUCCUACGGGAGGCAGCAGUGGGGAGUAUUGCACAAUGGGGGAAACCCUGAUGCAGCGACGCCGCGUGAGCGAUGAAGUAUUUCGGUAUGUAAAGCUCUCUCAGCAGGGAAGAAAAUGACGGUACCUGACUAAGAAGCCCCGGCUAACUACGUGCCAGCAGCCGCGGUAAUACGUAGGUGGCAAGCGUUGUCCGGAUUUACUGGGUGUAAAGGGCGUGUAGCCGGGCUGACAAGUCAGAUGUGAAAUCCGGGGGCUCAACCCCCGAACUGCAUUUGGAACUGUGUGGCUGGAGUGUCGGAGAGGCAGGCGGAAUUCCUAGUGUAGCGGUGAAAUGCGUAGAUAUUAGGAGGAACACCAGUGGCGAAGGCGGCCUGCUGGACGAUGACUGACGUUGAGGCUCGAAAGCGUGGGGAGCAAACAGGAUUAGAUACCCCUGUAAA
rnacentral:rRNA from 1 species